CUCCCGUUUCCGGUCAGAGGCACACUCCAUCCUUUUUUGGAUGGAUGGUCCCUCUGUGAGUGUGUGUGUUUGUGUGCUCGAGUGUGUGCUUAUGUUCUCGUCCGCGUACACGUGUAUUUAUUGGUCAAGGGGGCUUAAAUGAGCUUGUUCGAUGCCUGUGAGUGACCUUUGCCAAAACAGCAAUGGAAGUGUGUUUGUGCUUGCGUCUUCAUCACUGCAAGGCAGUUGGCGCCAGAUGACAGGCAUUUUUUUAUUUUUUUUUAGCUUGUGGUUUUGUGUCUGUUUCCCCAGCUUUGGACAGCAUGGUGGCGAAGGGACUGUGUCCGGAGGCUGAGUCACUCUCUCCUCUUAGUUACACCGCUUUGUGUUUUUGUUUGGAUCCUGAACGCGUCUGAAAUUAUAAAAAAGUGUACCUCCUCUUUCCUCUGAAAGGUUUCAUGUCAGGCCGCAUGUUUUCGGGAUGACACAAGCAACCUCUUCCAACUUCACAAAUCCACUUUGGGGUUCUGCAGUCCAGCAGGCAGAACAUGUCUGCAGCAAAUUGCGGAAUGGAAAAGCAACCUUCGUGCCAUGGAGGCGGGAAUGUAAUUAUACGCGACUGCUCCCCCACAUCUUCAACCACCACCUGGCAUGAUGUCUGCCUUCUUCAUCGCCCACCUGGUAAGCAGCCCGUGACGCCAGACUCCCCCUCGCCUUGCAAGCCUUCCGACGAGUCUGCUCUCCAGGCCUCGACCGCAGCAUGAGGAGGAGCAUCUGGGCCUCAUCUGAGCAUCUGUGCGCAACUUGAGAAACUGACCUGAACCUCAGCAAAAGAGAAGCACACAAAGCCUCAAAUAACCUCAUUUGGAUUCAUUUACUGCAAUGUCGCGUACUUAAAAUACAGGAUGUCAUAUUAGCAUACGGACUGGCCACUUCAUGAGUUACACCUGCACUUUUGAAUGAUCAACUGAUGUUCUUUCCAUGACCCUUCAAAGACCAACAGGCGCACGUUCCUACGAGAACCCGCGCAAUUGCGGUGGGAACGCAGGCAGUUCACGGGCCAGUUUCAAACUCGCCGAGGACACUGUGCCUGCAUGUCCAUUCAAGCAUGCAGUUUUCCAGUUUCGAGAUCCCAACCGCUUUGUCUUGAUUUCACACAUGAAAAAGAAACCCGCCAAUAAACUUUGGCAGAAACGGGUCAAAUUUGAUGCAGAACAGACUCGGCAUACACAAACUUGGCUAGUACCUGCAAAAAAAAAAAAGAAUGACACUUCAAAAGACUUUCAUUUUGGGUUAAUUUAAGAAGUUGUCAAAUAAAGUUGAAACGAAGGGCGACCGUCACUUAAAAGAAUCGCAUUAUUUCCCGCUACGUCUUCAGGCACUGCUGAGCUUAGCUCUUGCAUGGUACAUUCAUGUUCCACGCGAGUGUACCUAAUGAAGUGGCCUGUGAAUAUCCAUUGUACUGGACUGUGCUUGCUUGCUUGCAUCUUGUUCUGGGAUACAUCAUGCGCGCACUAGAUUUGCAUGCUGCAUAUUGGAUUGUAUCAAGAGAUGGCAGUAGGCGCGCUCCACAGAAACUUGGAUCUGAGUCAAAAUGGGCUUGCCGAUAAAACACACACACUUGGGAGAGACAUGGGGGAGGGGGGGAGGGGGGUGGAGAGGUUGGAGCACGCUGCCCUGAGUGGGCGUGGAGGAGUAGGAGGGAGGAUGCGCACCAUGUCACACAUCAAACUCCUCACAGGCCACAGGGGUUCACAUGUGUAGUCGAAGCAUCCAACAAGUGAGCACGUAAGAGAAGGAGAAGGCAGGAUGAUGAAAAACAGCGAGAACCACACACAGUCAGCCUUUUUUUUUUUUUUUUAGCUUCAACAUCUUCUUUCUUGUUGGCGUUUCAAGACAAGCUGUCAGGAAGCUUGUGCAAAUAUUGAGCAACACUCUCAGGCAACAGUUGGAUGAGCAGAGCGGGCGCUGCAUCAACAGAAACCUGCUGUGUAUAUUGUUCUUCUGUGAUUGCAGGAGCAUUCCCCGCUAAUUGCUCUUGUUCCUCAUUGCGGGCCAACUGCUGACACUGACAACAUCGGAGAUGUGAACGCGAAGGCAGACAAUUCAAUCGUGCACAGGACUGUGAGGACAAUGAGAGGAAGUAUGGAAAGGCCUUUAGUCCAUUUCCUUUAGGUCUAUGUGUUUGCUACCCUCUUUGUCCUAACCAGUAAGACCACUCAGUGCACUUGUAGAAGUCGGACACACAAGUCAGGCGACUGCGGUACCAGCAUUUUUUUUUUUGGAGGUGGGGGGGGGGGGGUUACCGUGUGAGAUUUGCACAGAAAAAGAGAUUGGUAAAAAUAUAUUUUUGUGUGUCAUUUUAACAACGGAACAUUUGGUACAAUGCUGCCAUCUGCUGGUUCUUCAGAAAAGUGCACAUAGAUUUUUCAGGAACUGCAAUACACUGAUUCUGUUCUCCCAAAAUACUCGGUCAUGAAUGCACGACCUACUUCCAUCAAUUGACAUGAGAAAUUAAUCGUGCGCAGCUGCACAACGAUGACAAAUAACGUGCCACAACCACGUACUGUAAUAUGUUUUCAACCAUUUUGGUGAAAUUCUUCCGACACACGCUUGUCAGUUUAAAUCCCAGAUGUGAGCAACAGAAGAUGACGCAUUACCUGACAUUCAUUUGCACAUUUAUUUCACUUAUCAGAAAAAAAGUCCUCAUAAAGCAGACUGUAUAAACUGUACACAAAAGCAAGGCACUACAGUGUAGUUUAAAAAAAUGCAUUACAUGAUCUCAAACCAUCUUUUGUUAGUCAUUAAUUAAACAACAAUCAUAACACAAGUUGCAUUAUUUUUGAUGACGUGGCAAAAUGGUUUACAAAAGAUUACUGGUACCAAAAAAAAAAAGCACUAUUAAACACAUUGUUUUCUAUCUCGGUAAAAUUUUAAUAUGCUUAGUUUUGUCCUACUUGGACAUAAAUAUAAAUUAUUUUCCCAAAGGAAUCAAACAAAUGAGACAAAAAGAGAUAUAAA